rnacentral:rRNA from 1 species
UGGGGAAUAUUGCACAAUGGGCGCAAGCCUGAUGCAGCCAUGCCGCGUGUGUGAAGAAGGCCUUCGGGUUGUAAAGCACUUUCAGCGGGGAGGAAGGCGUUAAGGUUAAUAACCUUGGCGAUUGACGUUACCCGCAGAAGAAGCACCGGCUAACUCCGUGCCAGCAGCCGCGGUAAUACGGAGGGUGCAAGCGUUAAUCGGAAUUACUGGGCGUAAAGCGCACGCAGGCGGUUUGUUAAGUCAGAUGUGAAAUCCCCGGGCUCAACCUGGGAACUGCAUCUGAUACUGGCAAGCUUGAGUCUCGUAGAGGGGGGUAGAAUUCCAGAUAUAGCGGUGAAAUGCGUAGAGAUAUGGAGGAAUACCGGUGGCGAAGGCGGCCCCCUGGACGAAGACUGACGCUCAGGUGCGAAAGCGUGGGGAGCAAACAGG